rnacentral:rRNA from 1 species
GGUUAAGCGACUAAGCGUACACGGUGGAUGCCCUGGCAGUCAGAGGCGAUGAAGGGCGUGCUAAUCUGCGAUAAGCGCCGGUAAGGUGAUAUGAACCGUUAUAACCGGCGAUACCCGAAUGGGGAAACCAAACC